GAUGAACGCUGGCGGCGUGCCUAAUACAUGCAAGUAGAACGCUGAAGGAAGGAGCUUGCUCUUUCCGGAUGAGUUGCGAACGGGUGAGUAACGCGUAGGUAACCUGCCUGGUAGCGGGGGAUAACUAUUGGAAACGAUAGCUAAUACCGCAUAACAGUAGAUGUUGCAUGAUAUCUACUUAAAAGGUGCAAUUGCACCACUACCAGAUGGACCUGCGUUGUAUUAGCUAGUUGGUGAGGUAACGGCUCACCAAGGCGACGAUACAUAGCCGACCUGAGAGGGUGAUCGGCCACACUGGGACUGAGACACGGCCCAGACUCCUACGGGAGGCAGCAGUAGGGAAUCUUCGGCAAUGGACGGAAGUCUGACCGAGCAACGCCGCGUGAGUGAAGAAGGUUUUCGGAUCGUAAAGCUCUGUUGUAAGAGGAGAACGAGUGUGAGAGUGGAAAGUUCACACUGUGACGGUAUCUUACCAGAAAGGGACGGCUAACUACGUG
rnacentral:rRNA from 1 species